CGGGGUGGAGUAACGCGUGGGUAACCUGCCUCAUACAGGGGGAUAACAGUUAGAAAUGACUGCUAAUACCGCAUAAGCGCACAGUGCUGCAUGGCACAGUGUGAAAAACUCCGGUGGUAUGAGAUGGACCCGCGUCUGAUUAGGUAGUUGGUGGGGUAACGGCCUACCAAGGCGACGAUCAGUAGCCGGCCUGAGAGGGUGAACGGCCACAUUGGGACUGAGACACGGCCCAA
rnacentral:rRNA from 1 species